GGACUACCGGGGUUUCUAAUCCUGUUUGCUCCCCUAGCUUUCGUCUCUCAGCGUCAGUUGCGAUCCAGUGAGCCGCCUUCGCCUCUGGUGUUCCUGCAGAUAUCUACGCAUUUCACCGCUACACCUGCAAUUCCACUCACCUCUCUCGCACUCGAGCACGGCAGUUUCGGAAGCAGCCUCUGGGUUAAGCCCAGAGAUUUCACUCCCGACUUGCCACACCGCCUACAGACCCUUUACGCCCAGUUAUUCCGAGCAACGCUGGCCCCCUACGUCUUACCGCGGCUGCUGGCAC
rnacentral:rRNA from 1 species